rnacentral:ncRNA from 1 species
UGGCUGAGAGGGUAUCUCGAGGUUCGCUGGAUUUUUCCACUCGGCUG